GGUCAGCCAUCCUUAGGUACGUUUCCAUUUUCAGACAGAAAGGCGACAGACUUGGAACACCAUUGUUGGGCCUCGAAAACUGAUGCAGUAUGAUAGCAUCUUUUGAAUCAAUCUCCUGCUCUUUCCGGAUGGCCAGCAGCUCGUGGAGCAGGUAGGCGGCGGCGGCCAGCAGCGCGCCGCCCGUCAGGUACAGCGUCUUCUUCCACCACGAGUCGGAGCCCAGCGCCGCCAUGGUGCCGCCCGCCCCCGCGCCCGCCAGCGGGAAGGCGACCAGCUCGCCCCCAUAGAGCGCGGGCGGCGGCUCCUCGGGCCCCGCGCACCAGCCCAGCGACAGGCUGCGGUUGCGGCUCAGGUCCGCCACGCAGGAGCGAGGCGCCGCCAGCCCGACUCCCCACAGCAUGCUGCGCCCGGGCACCGCAUCCCCCGCUCCGAUCCGGCCGG
rnacentral:lncRNA from 1 species